rnacentral:rRNA from 1 species
GUGGCAAGCGUUAUCCGGAUUUAUUGGGCGUAAAGGGAGCGUAGACGGUUGUACAAGUCUGAUGUGAAAGCCCACGGCUCAACUGUGGGAGUGCAUUGGAAACUGUAGAACUAGAGUAUCGGAGAGGCAAGUGGAAUUCCUAGUGUAGCGGUGAAAUGCGUAGAUAUUAGGAGGAACACCAGUGGCGAAGGCGGCUUGCUGGACGAAAACUGACGUUGAGGCUCGAAAGCGUGGGGAGCAAAC